UUCACAUGUUAGGAUUUGGUGUCCAGGUCUCUGAAUCCCCCUGUUCUUGAGGCCCUUUGUUCAGGUCCUGUCUGGGGAGAAGAGGCCUAGGAUUGAUUCCAGGACUUACCUGUAAGAGCGGGGAACUGCGGCAAGCCAAGCCAGGAGUUUCAGUGAGAUGGUUCCAGUGGGAGUUCAUGGCAGGAAGCCAAACAAGCUAAGGGGCACAGCAAUGGCAGCACCCAGACCAUCUAGCCCAGACCCAAGACUGGGUACUCUUGUUAGGGUGAGAGGUCAGCAAGGACCUGGAAACAAACUCCAUGUGAGAGACCAGGAAGCUACGGUGAAUAUGCUAAAUCAAAACAAAAGAAUGAACCAAGAAAACAAAACAAAAAAAGAAUUAAAGCAGCAAAAGAUUCAGUGUGGGAAGAAGUCAACCCAAGAACAGGCUAUCAGCUGUACCUUGGGCCCAGAGACACGGCUACAGAAGAGAACAGCACAGAGGGCUUGAAAGGGACAGGCAACCAACCGGGCUCACAAUGUUUUUGAGUCUGGAGAAAAUA